AGAAAAUAGAUACCCGGGUAGUCCAUGCCGUAAACUAUGGGUACUAGCUGUUGGGGGUAUCGACCCCUCCAGUAGCGAAAGCUAAACGCGUUAAAGUAUCCCGCCUGUGGAGUACGAUCGCAAGAUUAAAACAUAAAGGAAUUGACGGGGACCCGCACAAGCGGUGGAGCGUGUUCUUUAAUUCGAUGCUAAACGAAGAACCUUACCAGGGCUUGACAUCCCUUGAAUUACUCCGAAAGGAGUGAGUGCUUUAUUGAGCAAGGUGACAGGUGAUGCAUGGCCGUCGUCAGCUCGUGUCGUGAGAUGUUUGGUUAAGU
rnacentral:rRNA from 1 species